CCACCCCCAUUUCCCAUUUGUUUUCAAGCUCUUCAUGUUCAGGGUACUAGGUAAAUUCAGAAUAAGCCAAAAAUUGAGUUUCAAGAGAUCUCAACAGCUUCCUGAGUGUUCUAGUACACAAAGCUAAGAGGCAGGCUAUGAAUUGCUGUUCCGUAGUGCUGAUGAAGCAAUCGUAGCUGAAAACUGAGAAGCUGUGUGACAGGCGCGUUAAUCAUGUUUACCGCAGUUGUCGCGCUGGGUUUAUGCUUAAGAAACAAAAACAACUAAGAUUCAGAGAGCUGUUAGCUUUACAGUCAGUUGCUUCACAACAUGUGUUAUUCAGUCUUCAGAGUAACUUGAAGGCUGAACAUGUCCAUUUUACAGACCAGGAAACAGAGGGCUCCAACUGCCCAAGUCACCGGGACAGUAAGAGGCAGACUCGGACCUGGAACACAACUCAGCCUAGCUACAAAGCUUGGAUGGUUUCCAUUGUACUUUUGUUUUAUUUUUAUUUAUUUUACUUUUGGAGAAAGGGUUCUUGCCAUGGAGCUCUGGCUGCCCUGGAAUUCACUCUGUGGGCCAGGCUGGCCUUGAACUUACAGAGAUUCACGUGCCUCUGCCUCCCAGCUGCUGGGGUUAAAGGUGUGCACUCUGGUGAGCAGUCACCAAGAAAGCUGUCACCACCAGGAGAAGUGUGCUCCAUCUGAAAUGAAGAUGAGGCGUGAAGGACCCUGAGAAAAGCGGAUGUACCAUCAGUCCAGGGAUGAUUGCGGCAAUGGGGGAGUGUGAUUGAAGAAACGAGGGAGCUGAGAAGAGGUGGAGAGGGCAUGUGGCCAGCAUCAUGGAUGAAGGACGAGAAGGGUUGGAAAAAGCCCAGUAGAAGAGAUGACAUUACAAGGGACAGCGAGGAAAGAAAGGUAGUGGAACCAGUAAAGGACGGAACCAGAAUCUCUACGCAGUUUCACAUGACUCCCAGCCAAUGACUUGAAACCACACCCUGGCGCCAUUUAACAAGGCUACAAAGUAUCAUUGGGUUCCUUACUGUGUCCGGUGAGUAAGGACACCCACAGAGUGCUAUUGGCUGUCAUCAUUGCCUAGUGUGUUUCUUCCACUUGGACAUGGCUAUGUUCCUUUCCUAAACCAUGUUUUGCCUGAAAACGAGCCCUUUAAACUCUUUAUAUUCUGUUUCAGAUAAGAUGGUGUUUACAAAAAUAUGUAUGUAUCAAAUAUAACCCACAGGAACCCUCUCAUCAGCCACAAAAAGGGCGUGACAACAUCAGUGCAAAAUCUGAGAAUUUUAGAAAAAUUUGGCAUAAGAAAU